rnacentral:rRNA from 1 species
GUCGCACGAGAACUCUUUAGCUUGCUAAAGAUAGUAAAGUGGCGCACGGGCUGAGUAACGCGUGGGUAAUCUACCUCCGAAUCGGGGAUAACUCGCCGAAAGGCGUGCUAAUACCGGAUAAUAUUCAUAAAACCCUGGUUUUAUGAAUCAAAGGUGGCCUCUACAUGUAAGCUACUGUUUGGAGAUGAGCCCGCGUGCCAUUAGCUUGUUGGUAGGGUAAUGGCCUACCAGGGCAACGAUGGCUAGCUGGUCUGAGAGGAUGAUCAGCCACACUGGAACUGACACACGGUCCAGACUCCUACGGGAGGCAGCAGUGAGGAAUUUUGCGCAAUGGGGGAAACCCUGACGCAGCAACGCCGCGUGAGUGAUGAAGGCCUUCGGGUCGUAAAGCUCUGUCAAGUGGGAAGAAAAUGUUCGAUGCUAAUAACAUCGUUCACUGACGGUACCACUGAAGGAAGCACCGGCUAACUCCGUGCCAGCAGCCGCGGUAAUACGGGGGGUGCAAGCGUUAUUCGGAUUUAUUGGGCGUAAAGGGCGCGUAGGCGGUUUCUUAAGUCAGAUGUGAAAGCCCGGGGCUUAACCCCGGAAGUGCAUUUGAAACUAAGGGACUUGAGUAUGGGAGAGGGAAGUGGAAUUCCUGGUGUAGAGGUGAAAUUCGUAG